GCACUGCUGAGGAGUCUCAUAAUCGGACGAAACGGCCGUCUAGUGC
rnacentral:hammerhead_ribozyme from 1 species